rnacentral:rRNA from 1 species
CAGUCGCCGCGGUAAUACGGAGGGUGCAAGCGUUAAUCGGAACUACUGGGCGUAAAGCGUGCGUAGGCGGUUCGUUAAGUCUGUUGUGAAAGCCCCGGGCUCAACCUGGGAAUGGCAAUGGAUACUGGCGAGCUAGAGUGUGUCAGAGGAUGGUGGAAUUCCAGGUGUAGCGGUGAAGUGCGUAGAGAUCUGGAGGAACAUCAGUGGCGAAGGCGGCCAUCUGGGACAACACUGACGCUGAUGCACGAAAGCUAGGGGAGCAAACAGGAUUAGAUACCCCCGUAGUCCCUGUCUCUUAUAC